ACAGAAAAGGCAAAAUAAAAAUAAAAUAAAAAACAGUUAUCUGCACAUAUCGUGUAGCUCAUUGCACUCAGCUGAUUGUUGAAGCAUUAGCACAAUAAUGAAUAUAGUUUUUGUAGCAGUUUGCCUUAUGUGCACUAUUUUAUCGACGAGUAAUGCCUGUAGCAUGGUAGAGCGCCCUAAGGCAACUCGUGUGACGUGCACGAAAAUGCUAAUGUAUCGUAUGUAAUUUAGAUAAACAUGAGACGCUUUUCCAAAAUCUCCGCGCAAUGCAAAAGGGGAGAAAUGAUUAAAUACACUUUUCUUACAAUCUUUCCUGUAAUUAGUGGUGGAACGAACGUUUUGCAAUAAUGUUUUAUUAUGUUAUUAUUAGCUGCUUAUUGUAUGCGUGCACAAAUAUAAGCUGGCAACAGAUUUUGACUUUUCCUUAUUUAUCUCUGUAAAGUUGUAAGUUAUCUGAAGCCAGGCAUUAACGACACGAUUGUUUGCGAGCAAGAAAAUUAUUUACAGAUGUGCUCAGAAUAAAAAUUACUUCAACGAUCAUAUAUAUUUUCAGACUUAUUUGAUCACUAUGGAUGCGUAAAGCUUAAACACAUUUAAAAUUUUAUAAUUUUAAGAACCCCGCACUUUUCAUACAAAUUCGUUUGCGCUUCGACAUAACACUGGAGUUAAUGUUUUAUAAUAAUAUGCCUUUCAAUGAAAAGUCUCGAAAAUAUUUUCUACGUGGAAAAUUAAAUAUAACAUCUAAUAAAUAAAAAAUUGUGAUUCCAACA